ACGAACGCUGGCGGCGUGCUUAAGACAUGCAAGUCGAGCGGGGGGACCCAGAGCAGCUUGCUGUGAGGGUUCCCUAGCGGCGGACGGGUGAGUAACGCGUGGGCAACCUACCCGCGAAUCGGGGACAACAGUGGGAAACCGCUGCUAAUACCGGAUGAGCUUUUCUGACCGCAUGGUCGGGGAAGGAAAAGGCAGCCUCUGCAUAGCAAGCUGUCGUUCGCGGAUGGGCCCGCGUCCCCAUUAGCUAGUUGGUGGAGGUAACGGCCCACCAAGGCGACGAUGGGUAGCCG
rnacentral:rRNA from 1 species